rnacentral:rRNA from 1 species
UACGUAGGGUGCAAGCGUUGCUCGGAAUCACUGGGCGUAAAGCGCACGUAGGCGGCUUUCUAAGUCAGGGGUGAAAUCCUGGAGCUCAACUCCAGAACUGCCUUUGAUACUGGAGAGCUUGAGUCCGGAAGAGGUGAGUGGAACUCCGAGUGUAGAGGUGAAAUUCGUAGAUAUUUGGAAGAACACCAGUGGCGAAGGCAGCUCACUGGUCCGGUACUGACGCUGAUGUGCGAAAGCGUGGGGAGCGAACAGG